rnacentral:rRNA from 1 species
UAAUACCCCGGCCGAAACUGCGAAUGGCUCAUUAUAUAAGUUAUCGUUUAUUUGAUAGUACCUUACUACUUGGAUAACCGUGGUAAUUCUAGAGCUAAUACAUGCUAAAAAUCCCGACUUCGGAAGGGAUGUAUUUAUUAGAUUAAAAACCAAUGCCCUUCGGGGCUCACUGGUGAUUCAUGAUAACUCCUCGAAUCGCAUGGCCUUGUGCCGGCGAUGGUUCAUUCAAAUUUCUUCCCUAUCAACUUUCGAUGUUUGGGUAUUGGCCAAACAUGGUUGCAACGGGUAACGGAGGGUUAGGGCUCGACCCCGGAGAAGGAGCCUGAGAAACGGCUACUACAUCCAAGGAAGGCAGCAGGCGCGCAAAUUACCCAAUCCCGACACGGGGAGGUAGUGACAAUAAAUACUGAUACAGGGCUCUUUUGGGUCUUGUAAUUGGAAUGAGUACAAUUUAAAUCCCUUAACGAGGAACAAUUGGAGGGCAAGUCUGGUGCCAGCAGCCGCGGUAAUUCCAGCUCCAAUAGCGUAUAUUAAAGUUGUUGUGGUUAAAAAGCUCGUAGUUGAACCUUGGGCCUGGCUGGCCGGUCCGCCUCACCGCGUGUACUGGUCCGGCCGGGCCUUUCCCUCUGUGGAACCCCAUGCCCUUCACUGGGUGUGGCGGGGAAACAGGACUUUUACUGUGAAAAAAUUAGAGUGCUCCAGGCAGGCCUAUGCUCGAAUACAUUAGCAUGGAAUAAUAGAAUAGGACGUGUGGUUCUAUUUUGUUGGUUUCUAGGACCGCCGUAAUGAUUAAUAGGGACAGUCGGGGGCAUCAGUAUUCAAUUGUCAGAGGUGAAAUUCUUGGAUUUAUUGAAGACUAACUACUGCGAAAGCAUUUGCCAAGGAUGUUUUCAUUAAUCAGGAACGAAAGUUAGGGGAUCGAAGACGAUCAGAUACCGUCGUAGUCUUAACCAUAAACUAUGCCGACUAGGGAUCGGACGGUGUUAUUUUUUGACCCGUUCGGCACCUUACGAGAAAUCAAAGUGCUUGGCUCCAGGGGGAGUUUUUGCCCCG